GAGAUUUGCUCUGAUAUUCUCAUUUAAAUAUGAAUAGGUAAAUACGGGCGGGUUUGGGCAGUUUGGUCACAUUAACCAAAAUUUUUUUCGGGCGGCUUUGGGCGGUUUGGUAACGAAAGGGUUAAGAGGGUCAAGAAUUUGGAAAAUGUGCUUUGUUCGUUUUUCACCAGAUACUCAGAUGAUGAAAUUGGAAAGCUUCUCGAUUUGUUUGUAAGAUUAAAGAUAGCAGCUAUGCAGUUUACGCGGUAGGUCAUUAUUUCAGCACAUGAAGUUUAAGAAAAUAUGAUUUGAUCUUGUGUUUGUAGAGCGAAACUGUGAGCAUAAGUGCUAAAUUGUUUCUCGUUUGUAAAAUCAACUUACUAUAACUGUGUGUGCACAUGCUUACCUACCUUAUUACUUUAAUGUUAGGUUUUAAAAGAUUGAUUGGAUAAAUUUAGGGCCGAACCGUUUGUUUUUUGUUCAUUAUUGUUUGACAGAUGCAAAAGCUGUCCAGGAAAGUAGGACUUCCAAUAAGAUAAGAGAAAAGUUUGUUUGUCUUUAAUAUCCAUUUUUGUUUCAUCUGUGUAUGGUAUGUAUGAAAAAUGCUGCGAGUUGUAAUUUGGACAUUAAUUUGAGUGAUCUCUGAAUUAGUGGUACGUUCCGUUUGCUUUUAUGAUGCAAUAUUUUCUUAACCCAUGUAUUUUCAUAUUACAAUUUAUGUAUGAAAAAAAUAUUGCAAUUUGUUGUGGCUUCCUAGUAUUUACUCAUCUCAUUACCAUGUGAUUGCUAGUUCACUAUAUUAUUACUUUUGUAUUAAAACAAUUAGAAAUUAAAACAAAUAGUAAUUAGUAAUUAAAACAAAUAGUAAUUGAAUGCAAAAGGCUCUUUUCUUCAGGAAAAAAGUAUUGCUGAGCAAUUUUACUUUUAGCAUGGUUGUCAGUUUCCGUCUUUGACAGAUACAACAAUGAUGUGUUAAAUCCUAGAAUGUUCUAUUGAGACAUGAGAACUUCAUGGCAUUUAGCUGAAAGUAAUAACUCUUAUAUGUGUGUCUAUGCCUUUGUAUUUUAUUCAUUGGCAGAUGUGUUGGAUAACAGAUGAAAAUUCAAUGAAUUAGCUAUCAGCUCUUUUUGUUUUCCCUGUUUGUCUUUCCUCAACAUCCAAAGACUUGUAUUUACCUACACAACUGAUUUAACAGUGACUGUUUUACCCCUUCAGCUGUGUCAUUUUGCAGUUUGGAUAUGAACAGAGUAAGCAUGUUUCAUUGUUAUAACUAUUGAAAUUAGUAAUGUUUACUUGCAAUGUAGGAUAGUAAAAGGAAAAUGGUAUAGUGGCUUUUUGUGUAAACGUUGUUGUCAGUAUUCUGGAAAAUGUGCUUUAUUUGUUUCUCACCAGAUAUUUAGAUGAUGAAAUUGGAAAGUGUCUUGGUACAUGUCACAGAUUGAAGAUAGGUAGGUUAUUGCUUUCGCAUAUUAAGGUAAAGAAAAUAUCAGUUGAUAGAUGCAAAAGCCCUCCAGGAAAAGUACGACCGCCAGUAAAAUUAAAGAAAAACUUUGUUUACAGUUAAUGUCCAUUUCUUUUUCACCUGUGUAUUGUAUGCUUGGAAAUAUAACUAUUAUAAAGAUAACUUUAAAUUUCACAUGUACAGAUUUUGUAUGUUCUAAUUUGCCUGUGUGAAGGUUUCAUCUCCUUUUUUUUUUUGUCCCUUGUAGUAUUUAUUUUUGCUUUGAGAUGAAGAUAGAUUUUGUUAUGAAAUUUUACUGUUCGGUUCAUGCCUGUUAUUGGUAAUAUUUUACAUUGCCUAUUCUGCCUUGGUUGCGUAAAUACUCUGUUCACAGAAAAAAACCUGACGGAAAUGUAUGAGGAUGUUGAAGACUGUUAAUAUUGUCAUGGAGUUACAUUCAGUGAAUUAGUGAUUGGAGACUAAUUCUGUUGGUAAGUCUGGAUUUUAUGUAUUCAGUGUAUGUGAAUCUCUCUACCCUUGAAGCACUUUUUCCUUUCUCCCUUUUUAGUGUUAAAUAUUUUGAGCAAAAUUUAGCUUCAUGCUGUGGAAUAUCAAAUGUUUGAUCUCAUUAGAAAAAAAAUCCCAAAGAAAAUGCUGUUGUGGAUACAUAAGCUUCGAAAAUUAGGGCUUUUGGUUUCAUUAACAAAGUAUUUAGAAAUGAUUUUCUUAUGAGGCUUCCUCAUUAAAUAAAGUUGCAAGAGGUUUGAGUUUUGCAUUAUCUUUUGUCUAGGAUGAAUAUAACAAAUAUGUACAGCAAUACAAAUAACCAAAGAAAUCAAGCUUUGAAAAGAGCCCUCCAUAAAUUAUGUCUCUGAAAGAAUAAAGAAAUCUUUACAAGAAAGGAAAGGUGUUUUGAGAGUAAGAGUUACUUUGUUGUUAAUCAAACUGUUUAAAUAUUUUUUAGGUGUAUUAAAUAUUUUGUACUCAUUUUCUCUCUUCUGAUGAAUUUUUUAUAAGAUUUUAUAUACAUAUAAUAAUGUAUGUGUGAAAACACCACCAUGUGUGUAUAAAUUUUGUGCUGGUGUGUGACAUGAUUUGGGUGUUGGUUUGUGUGUUCAAUUCUUUUAUUAUGUGGUGUGUUGUCUGUAAGCAACACUUCAAGGAUUGACACAUUUCAUACUACCUUUGUCCACUCAGCAGAACAUGAGGAUCAGCAAAUAGCAGAUAUGCCUCUGUUUAGUGGGUAUAGUUUGUUACUCAUCUGCAGAUUAAUUUUUUGUAUUAAAAAUUAUAUUUACUACUUAAUGUCAACUUUAGAAUACUGAAGAUUAGCAAGAAAUACAUAUUUCCUGUUAGAUUUUACUAAUAUUUUUGAAAGUAUUUAAAAAAAAAUUUAUUUUCUAUUUGUAACAACUCCUUUUUCUAGGUAGGUUGAACAAUUGUUUAAAAGUUGCCCUGUACUGAUGUGAUCAAUCACUUGAAGUUAAUUAUGAUUUUGCAGCAAUAGAUUGGCAGUUAUGGCCUCCAGUGUCUUCUGGAUGAAUUUAAUAAUCGCACAUAAUGAUGGAAUGGCAAAAGAACUUGAGCUCAAAAUGAAUUCUCAUUAAAAUUGAAGUUUCCAAAUGAAAUAUUAUUCCAAAGGAAAAACAGUCAGAAAUUGAUAAAAUUAUCUGUUGAAAUUAAGAAGUUUUUCUUGUGAUCACAAGAAGCUCAUUAUCAUUAAAAUGUCAGUUAUUUCACUUGCUAAUUAAAUUGUGCUACUGAAACAAAAUUUAUGAAAUACAUUGUGAAUAUAUACAAACAAAAUAAUUGAGUGGUCUGGAAAUGAUAAUAACUCACAAACGUAAAAGAGAAACAUCAAAAAGUGCCAAACAAAUAUUUUAAUUUUAUUUUAUUUAUUGAAAUUGUACAAGUGAUGAAACUAUAUGAAAACUGAAAAAAUUGCAUUGGCAUAUUUACUUAUCAAAUCUUCUGUAGGCAUCUGGAUAGUGGUAAUAUACUCCAUGUUUGACAAAACACUGAUACUAUUAUGAAUAUAAUUGUCUGUGUUUUAAAUGGCUAUCAUGCAUCUAUAAAAAAAAAGAUUCAGAUGUAAUUAUUUAUCAAAUCUUAUGAAAAGCUUAAUAUGGCAAUGUCUACUGAAAACCACCCUUACAGAAUGAAAUAUAUUCUGCAGAGAGUAAUCUCCCCUAUCUUGUAUCAGUAAAAAUUUUUGUUUUAAGACAUUUACUAAUUAACAUCCAAAAUAAAUAGUGCUGUUUAUGAUGUAAAGAUAAUUUUUUAUGCUUAAAAAUACAAUUCUUGUAUUCUUUUGGUGGUUUUAGUCUUUGGUAUGUUUAUUUUUAUUGAUCUCUCCCAAGAUAACCAGGUGUAAGAUGUGACAAUCAAUGUGGGACAAACGAUAUUUUUGUCCAAUGCACUGACCCUAUCAUCCAAUGUCAGUAUACAUGCACAUAUAUAAUUUUGUUCAUGUUCUGUGGUGAUGUGGAUUAGACGGUUCAACAGUAUCUGAGGGGCCUGAGAUUCUCAGCUUAAGUGUGGUGUGUGUGUGUGUGUAUAUAUAUGUUACCAUGUGUGUAUCGUUGGCAAUUUUUUUCACUCCGUCUUCCCUUCCUUGGAUCUUUGCUUUUUCUAUGUUUCUGACGAAGAGCUCCGCUCGAAACAUUAAAUCCUCCUUUUUUUCCUUUCCUGAGCGUCCAAUAACACUAUACUUGUUCAACAUCCUCGCGUUGUGUUUUCUCUUUGAGUUAACUAUAUAAGUAACUUGCACGGACUCUGGAAAUACAUCUGCCAUCACCAGAGAAAACAAAGCAACUACCCCCAGCGACUUGCCUGACCUUUCAUUGGACAAAAGCUACCUACCUGCCAUUCUAAUGGACACUGGCUAAACAUCACUGCUGAUAUUUUUGUAUAAAUAGACAUCAUAAAUCGCUGUAAGAGCAGUUGGCUUUUUGGUAGUCGACUGAUGUAAAUCGUGUCCCUCUCGCCUGCCACGCUCGCCACUCACGCCGCCUCGAACCUUUGUACUGCUAUUUCACGCCUGAAAUAAAUUGCUGUAUAAACUUA